rnacentral:rRNA from 1 species
UACUGCUAUCAGUGUUCGAUUAAGCCAUGCGAGUUAAAUGUUCUUCGUGAACAUGGCGUACUGCUCAGUAACACGUGGAUAACCUGCCCUAAGGUCCGGCAUAACCCCGGGAAACUGGGGAUAAUACCGGAUAAACCAUAGAUACUGGAAUGUUCUGUGGUUAAAAGUUCCGGCGCCUUAGGAUGGAUCUGCGGCCUAUCAGGUAGUAGUGGGUGUAAAGUACCUACUAGCCGACGACGGGUACGGGUUGUGAGAGCAAGAGCCCGGAGAUGGAUUCUGAGACAUGAAUCCAGGCCCUACGGGGCGCAGCAGGCGCGAAAUCUUUACAAUGCGGGAAACCGCGAUAAGGGGACACUGAGUGCCAGCAUACAAUGCUGGCUGUCCACAUGUGUAAAUAGCAUGUGAUAGCAAGGGCCGGGCAAGACCGGUGCCAGCCGCCGCGGUAACACCGGCGGCCCGAGUGGUAAUCACUAUUAUUGGGUCUAAAGGGUCCGUAGCCGGUUUAAUCAGUCUUCCGGGAAAUCUGACAGCUCAACUGUUAGGCUACCGGGGGAUACUGUUAGACUUGGGA